rnacentral:rRNA from 1 species
AGCGGCGCAAGGGAGAGUAACGCGUAGUUAUCUACCCCAAGGCCCGGAAUAGCUGCGGGAAACUGCAGGUAAUGCCGGAUAAUAUCCCCGGAUCAAAGGUGUGAUUCCGCCUUGGGAGGAGACUGCGUUGUACUAGCUUGUUGGUAGGGUAAUGGCCUACCAAGGCUACGAUGCAUAGCGGGCGUGAGAGCGUGGCCCGUCUCACUGGGACUGAAACACUGCCCAGACACCUACGGGUGGCUGCAGUCGAGAAUCUUCGGCAAUGGGCGAAAGCCUGACCGAGCAAUGCCGCGUGCGGGAUGAAGGCCCUCGGGUUGUAAACCGCUGUCGUAGGGGAGAAAGGUCUCAUGAAGAAUGAGAUUUGAUCUAUCCUAGGAGGAAGUCCGGGCUAAGUUCGUGCCAGCAGCCGCGGUAACACGAACCGGACAAACGUUAUUCGGAAUUAUUGGGCUUAAAGGGUGCGUAGGCGGUGCGGUAAGUGCGGUGUGAAAGCCCUCGGCUCAACCGAGGAAUUGCGCUGCAUACUGCCGUGCUAGAGGGAGACAGAGGUAAGCGGAACUGAUGGUGGAGCGGUGAAAUGCGUUGAUAUCAUCAGGAACACCGGUGGCGAAAGCGGCUUACUGGGUCUUCUCUGACGCUGAGGCACGAAAGCUAGGGUAGCGAACGGGAUUAGAUACCCCGGUAGUCCUAGCCGUAAACGAUGGGCACUUGA